GGAUUUGAUGACAAGUUUUUGACACCCAGUCUUACUUGCUCCUUUGGUGCACCCUGGUGAAAGAUUAACUGUCUGAUCC